AAAUUAUAGUUUAGAACAAAUGGACUUAGCAGAUAUUUACAGAACGUUCUACCCAACAACUGCAGAAUAUACAUUCUAUUCAUCAGCACAUGGAGCAUUCCCCAAGACAGACCAUAUUAUAGGCCACAAAACAGGUCUCAAUAAAUUUUAGAAAACUGGAAUUAUAG